UUUGAUCAUGGCUCAGAUUGAACGCUGGCGGGAUGCUUUACACAUGCAAGUCGAACGGCAGCACGGACUUCGGUCUGGUGGCGAGUGGCGAACGGGUGAGUAAUGUAUCGGAACGUGCCUAGUAGCGGGGGAUAACUACGCGAAAGCGUAGCUAAUACCGCAUACGCCCUUCGGGGAAAGCAGGGGGACCUUCGGGCCUCGCACUAUUAGAGCGGCCGAUAUCGGAUUAGCUAGUUGGUGGGGUAACGGCUCGCAAGGCGACGAUCCGUAGCUGGUUGAGAGGACGACCAGCCACACUGGGACUGAGACACGGCCCAGACUCCUACGGGAGGCAGCAGUGGGAAUUUUGGACAAUGGGGGAAACCCUGAUCCAGCCAUCCGCGUGUGCGAUGAAGGCCUUCGGGUUGUAAAGCACUUUUGGCAGGAAAGAAACGGCACGGGAUAGCACCCCGUGCAACUGACAGUACACCUGCAGAAUAAGCACCGGCUAACUACGUGCCAGCAGCCGCGGUAAUACGUAGGGUGCAAGCGUUAAUCGGGAUUACUGGGCGUAAAGCGUGCGCAGGCGGUUCGGAAAAGAAAGAUGUGAAAUCCCAGAGCUUAACUUUGGAACUGCAUUUUUUAACUACCGAGCUAGAGUGUGUCAGAGGGAGGUGGAAUUCCGCGUGUAGCAGUGGAAUGCGUAGAUAUGCGGAGGAACACCGAUGGCGAAGGCAACCUCUGGGAUAACACUGACGCUCAUGCACGAAAGCGUGGGAGCAAACAGGAUUAGAUACCCUGGUAGUCCCACGCCUAAACGAUGUCAACUAGCUGUUGGGGCCUUCGGGCCUUGUGGCGCAAUAACGCGUGAAGUUGACCGCCUGGGAAGUACGGUCGCAAGAUUAAAACUCAAAGGAAUUGACGGGGACCCGCACAAGCGGUGGAUGAUGUGGAUAAUUCGAUGCAACGCGAAAA
rnacentral:misc_RNA from 1 species